AAUCAACGCUGGCGGCGUGCCUAACACAUGCAAGUCGAACGCGAAAGGGGGCUUCGGCUCCUAAGUAGAGUGGCGUCCGGGUGAGUAACACGUAGGUAAUCUGCCUUCGGGUGGGGAAGUAACCAGUCGAAAGAUUGGCUAAUACCGCAUAAUGCAGCGGCACCUAAUGGUGAUUAGUUGUUAAAGCGGGGGAGUCGUAAGU
rnacentral:rRNA from 1 species